rnacentral:rRNA from 1 species
GGCCUACCAUGGUGGUAACGGGUAACGGGGUGUUAGGGCACGACACCGGAGAGGGAGCCUGAGAAACGGCUACCACAUCCAAGGAUGGCAGCAGGCGCGCAAAUUACCCAAUCCCGACACGGGGAGGUAGUGACAAUAAAUAACAAUACGGGGUUCUUUCGGAUCUCGUAAUUGGAAUGAGUACAAUUUAAAUCUCUUAACGAGGAACAAUUGGAGGGCAAGUCUGGUGCCAGCAGCCGCGGUAAUUCCAGCUCCAAUAGCGUAUAUUAAAGUUGUUGCAGUUAAAAAGCUCGUAGUUGAAUUUCGGGAUCAAUAUGUCUGUCGUGCCUUCGGUACGUACGGGUAUAAUUGGUUUCUACCUUCUGAUGAACCUUGAUGCCAUUAAUUUGGUGUCUUGGGGACUCAGGACUGUUACCUUGAAAAAAUUAGAGUGUUUAAAGCAGGCAUACGCUUGAAUACAUUAGCAUGGAAUAAUGAAAUAGGACGUUCGAUUCUAUUUUGUUGGUUUCUAGGAUCGACGUAAUGAUUAAUAGGGAUAGUUGGGGGCAUUAGUAUUCAAUUGUCAGAGGUGANUUCUUGGAUUUAUUGAAGACUAACUACUGCGAAAGCAUUUGCCAAGGAUGUUUUCAUUAAUCAAGAACGAAAGUUAGGGGAUCGAAGACGAUCAGAUACCGUCGUAGUCUUAACCAUAAACUAUGCCGACUAGGGAUCGGAUGAUGUUAAUUUUUUAAUGACUCAUUCGGCGCCUUACGGGAAACCAAAGUGUUUGGGUUC